rnacentral:rRNA from 1 species
AGAGUUUGAUCAUGGCUCAGGACGAACGCUGGCGGCGUGCUUAACACAUGCAAGUCGAACGGUGAACCGGGCUUCGGCCCGGGGAUCAGUGGCGAACGGGUGCGUAACACGUGGGCAACCUGCCCCAGACACUGGGAUAACUCCGGGAAACCGGGGCUAAUACCGGAUACUCCGGUCGAACCUCAUGGUUCGAUCGGGAAAGCUCCGACGGUCUGGGAUGGGCCCGCGGCCUAUCAGCUUGUUGGCGAGGUAACGGCUCACCAAGGCGACGACGGGUAGCUGGUCUGAGAGGACGACCAGCCACACUGGAACUGAGAUACGGUCCAGACUCCUACGGGAGGCAGCAGUGGGGAAUCUUGCACAAUGGGCGAAAGCCUGAUGCAGCGACGCCGCGUGGGGGACGAAUGCCUUCGGGUUGUAAACCCCUUUCGGCAGGGAAGAAGCGCAAGUGACGGUACCUGCAGAAGAAGUCCCGGCUAACUACGUGCCAGCAGCCGCGGUA